rnacentral:rRNA from 1 species
AACGAACGCUGGCGGCAUGCCUAACACAUGCAAGUCGAACGAAGUCUUCGGACUUAGUGGCGCACGGGUGCGUAACGCGUGGGAAUCUGCCCUUGGGUGCCGGGAAUAACUUCUCGAAAGGGAUGCUAAUACCGCAUAAUGUCGUAAGACCAAAGAUUUAUCGCCCAAGGAUGAAGCCCGGCGUAAGAUUAGCUAGUUGGUGGGGUAAAAGCCUACCAAGGCGACGAUCUUUAGCUGGUCUGAGAGGAUGAUCAGCCACACUGGGACUGAGACACGGCCCAGACUCCUACGGGAGGCAGCAGUGGGAAUAUUGCGCAAUGGCGAAGCCUGACGCAG